rnacentral:lncRNA from 1 species
CCUGCAGCAGGUGGGUCGUACAGAGAAUGGUAAAGAGCCCUUGUUAAAAUUCCACACCAAACUAAGGAAGAGCUUCCCUUGAUUCCUAUCAUAGGUGUGUUGCUGGAAAACCCACUGAGUAAGAGCUAUGCCGAGGAAGGAUUUGGGCUUGUAUACAAAAUGGAGUAAGGGCUACACUCAGNCAGUGAAUGGUGUCAUGGAUUCACAAAGCUUCAAGAAGGAGGUCAUGCUCAUCUCAUCAUGGUCUUUUCUUGACUUAGGUUUCCGCAUGAUGCUUUCCCAGAUGGAAGAAACUCUUUGCACUCUCUCUCUUUAUUCCCUAUGGACUCUGAUACCACUCUGUCAGUAUCCAUGACAUCCUUCAUGAUGGGACCAGCACUGACACUUGAGAUAUUGUAGCCAUAAAUCAAGUGCUCCUACUCACGAUUCCUUGUAUCAGGUGGGAUACCAUCUGUUGCAAAAAAAAAAAAAAAAACUGCAAAGGAUCAGAAAAUAGCAUCUCAGUGGACUUAAACAAUAAGAGAUGCAGUGUCAAAUAAAUCAGAAGUCUGGAAGGAGGGCCAUUUUGAUGAUGGCACUAAAUGGGAUCCAUGCUGUCAUUAAGGUUUCAAGUUCUUUCCAUGUUUCUGACUUGCCAACUUCAAUGUCUCAGUCCCUUAGCUCCCUUCAUGGUUUCAAAAUGGCUGCAAUAAUUCCAGACAUCUCAUCUACACAUCCACAUCCAGAGGUAGAAAUGGGGACCCUUUCAUCCUGUGUAAAAGCAAGGAGGCCAUUCCCAGCAACCACUCCCUGCUCAUGGGCCAGAAUAGUGUAAUAUAUUAUUUUAAAAUCCAUUACUAACAAUGAAACAGAUUCACCAGGACUGGCUUAAGCUAAUUAAGAUUCACCCCCAUGGGGAUGAGAUGGGAGCAACUCCCCAAAGGUCUUAUAGCGUGAGGAGGAUUCUUGAAGAGUGUUGGUGUUCUGGUAGCAAGGAAGAAGCUGAAGAGGUGACUGAUGAGGGCUCUUGAUGUGCUAUCUUACCAAAAUCAUUUUAAAACUAAAAAGUCAAGUAUCUAUGCAUUAUGUGAUUUGUCAUUUCUCCUUCCCCAGUUACAUCAAAACCCUCCAUCAGGAAGUUAAAACAACGUUUGACAAUGUGAAAGCAAUGUUAGGAAGAAAAUGAUCAUGCUCAAUCACGGCGAGAGUGUACUGAAAUAUUUUAUCAGCUACAGCAUAAAUAACAUUCAAUCUUUUAGGAAUUCACUUGGCAAUAAGUAUUGAGGUGAAAAAUUCUUCUUGGGAUCUAGUAAUUUUGCUAGGAAUUCAUCCAAACUCAGGGUAAAACCACCAACAUGGAGAUAUUAAUUCCAAUAUUUCUCAAGGCAACAAAAAUUUGGCAAAACUGACUGGGCUGCUAUAGCAUAGUGGACCCUGGUUGGAAAUCAGGCAAACUUGAAUGCAGAUCUUGCCCUGACCAUUGCCCUUGUACUUCUCUGAACUUAUACCAGUGGUCAGAAAAUUGACCUAUAGGUUUGUCUGAGGAUUAAAGAAAAUACUUAUGGAGCCCCCAUUGAUGGUAGAAACUUGGUAAGUGGUACACACCCCCCCGCCAAGUGAAUCCAGGUUAUGUCCUUUGUAGAUGUACACAGCCAUUUAUAUAAAUAUAUAAAGAUAGAGAGGAGAGAGAGAGAGAGAGAGAGAGAGAGAGAGAGAGAGAGAGAGAGAGAGAUUGAGAGAUUUUUAAUAUUUAUUUUUCAGUUUUCAGUGGACACAACAUCUUUGUUUUAUUUUUAUGUGGUGCUGAGGAUCAAACCCAGCGCCCCGCGCAUGCCAGGAGAGCGCUCUACCGCUUGAACCACAUCCCCAGCCCCUAAUAUUUAUAUUAAUUAAGAUUUUGAACAUCAGAUAAACCCAUUUACACAAUAUAAGUAAGUGGAAAAUCAGGAUUUAAAAACUAUUUUAGUCAUCUUUUUCGCUGCUGUGACUAGAACACCCAACCAGAACAAUGCUAGAAGAGGAAACAUUUAUUUAGAGGCUCUCGGUUUCAGAGGUCUCAGUCCAUAGACAGCCAGUUCCAUUCCUCAGGGCUCAAGGUGAGGUUGAACAUCAUGGCGGAAGAGUGGCAGAGGGAAGGGGCUCACGUGAUGGUCAGGAAGCAGAGAGAGAGAGAGAGACUCCACCCUGCAGAUACAAAUAUAUACCCCAAACCCACGACCCCAGCACCUACCUCCUCCAGCCACACCCUACCCACCUUCAGUUACCUCUCAGUUAACAACAUCAGGGGAUUAAUUCACUGACUGGGUUAAGACUCUCAUAACCCAAGCAUUUCUCCUCGAAGCCUCCUUGCAUUGUCUCACACAUGAGCUUUUGGGAGACACCUCACAUCCAAACCACAACAACUGCCAUGUUAAAACAAAUCUAUGGGGGCUGGGGAUGUGGCUCAAGGGAUAGCGCGCUUGCCUAGCAUGCGUGAGGCACUGGGUUCGAUUCUCAGCACCACAUAAAAAAUAAAAUAAAAUAAAAAGAUAUCGUGUCCACCUAAAAACUAAAAAAUAAAUAUUUUAAAAAAAAAAAAAAAAAAAACAAAUCUAUGCAGGAAUUAAAAAAAAUACACACAGCAACCUUCUAAUGGGGUUACGUCCGCCUUUGUUAGAUGAUGAAUAAUUCCCCUCAUUCUUCUCUAUUCCAGCAUUGCAUUUGUAGUGGAAAUAAUAUUUUAAAAUGCAAACCUGUAAAAAAGUCUGGGACAGCUUUUUAAAAUGUCUUCUUCUUUCUUUUCUGUGAAUACGUGUGAGAAAAAUUCUUAACCUGAGAUUGAGCUUUGUUGUCAUAUUUUCUUUUUGCCUCAGUUGAUAUAUUUUCACAUUUUUUCUAGGAAAGUUCCUGUUAUAGUUUGAAUCUGGAAAAUUUCCCAAAGGCUCAUGUGUUGACAGCUGGGCCACCUGAGGCAGUGAUGAAGUGACUGCUCACCUCCUCAGGGAUCAACCCCUGGAUGGAUUCCUAAUUUGAUGGGAUUAGUGGGAGGUGGUAGAAACUUCUGGAGGUGGGCCUGAUUGGAGGGAGGCCGCCAGGGUUGUGUUCUUGAAGGGUGUAUCUCUGGCUGGCUCUUUCUCUUUCUCUGUCUGCUUCCUGGCCAUGGAGUGGGCAGCUCUGUUCUACAUCCCUCCCUGCCUAGUUCUGCUUCACCACACGCCCAGCAUCAAUGGAGCCCAGUGACCAUAGAUGCAAGUUUCUGAAACUGUGAACCCAAAUAACUCUCUGCUCCUGUAAGAUGAUUUUCUCAAGUAUUUUGUUACAGCAACACACAGCUUAGCAGUUUCCCAGUUCUCUAGCUUUCUUCAUGCACAGUGGCCUCCUCUUGGUGGGAUAGCUCUCCCCUGCCCCCCCAUUCCUCUGUCAAUAAUCUCUGCUGCAGAUUUCCCACUGGGUCUUCAUGCCCAUUUUGUCUCUUAAAUUACUUAACGUUGAUUCUACUCCUCACCAUCUUCUUCAUGUCUCGAUCCCUCCAAACUACCCAUCAAUCUUGUUCAUUUUGAAGGCUGGGAAGGACUCUCUGUUCAUUAAUUACUUGGCUUACCUUCACCCAUUCUCAUCCUGUCUGAAAAAUUACUUAUUCCACACACCUUCAACAAGAAUAUUGAAAUAUGCUCACAUUGAUGGGGAAUGAGCAAGCUUAGAAAGCAGGUAUGUGUCAAGGAAUAUCAAAUAGCUUCAAGGUCAUGCCAUAGGAAGAGUCUGGUUGCAACACCAUCACAGGUGUGACAAAUAUUCUUGCUGCUGGACAUUGUCACUAAAAAUGGAUUCAAGUUGCCUUGAUGCUUUGUGUUCUCAGCUGAGAAUCAGAGUUGGGGGCUGGGACAUCUGAUGUCAACACCCAAGUCAGAGGUCCACACGACCUACUGCGGGUGGUAUGUUAGUCAGCUUUCUGCCACUGUAAGGAAACACUUGAGACAAUUCAUUUAAAAGAGAAAAGUCUCACAGUUUUGGAGGUGCAAGUUCAUGGCUUUAUUGGGGCCAUGGUUUGGGCCUGUGAGAAGAAGCACAUCAUGGUGGGAACGUGCAGCAGAGAAAAGUCACUCACCUCAUGUCCAAGAAGCAAAGAGAAAAAGAAGGUCCACAAUCCAUUUAAAAACACAUCCCCAAUGACUUAAGGACCUCCCGCUAGGCCCUCAUCUCUGAAAAGUUCCAAUGUCUCCCAGAGUGCUGUCCUGGGGACCAUGCCUUGAACACACAGCCUUGGGGGACAUUCAACAUCCAAGUGGAGAAGGGCCUUCCCUCUUAGGCUUCCAAGAGGCGCACAAAGGGGUGGGGUGGGGGGCUCCACAGGUGAGGAGUUCAGAUCCUGGUGGCCAAUAAGUCAAUACAGAGGGACAGAUUCCUUCUGCACCCUUUAGGCCCCUGCGUUCCCAGAGUCUGACGUUAGACCACCGUGUCUCACAGGGCAGAGGACUUCUUUCCAGCAUCAGUUGCCUGCAGCAAUUUCCUUCUGUGUUUUCACGAGCAGUUCUCUAGCUCUGGCACUGCACUGGAGGCCAAGAGGAUGGCCUUGACCUUCUUACCCCACUGACCUUGGUGCUUCCUAUGGCUUGCUUCUCUCUCUACCUCAGCAGCCUUUCCCACAUGCUGAUUCUCAGGCAUCUCUGCCUCCAGUGUGCUCCCAGCCCCCGCGGCCCCAGCACGCAGGCCACGAAGCACAGAUGUCAACUCAUCUUAUUUUCCCGUUACACUCCAAGCUCCUGGAGGAUGACACCACCUCUCCUGGUGUUAGCCUCAGCACCCAGGGCAGGACCCAGCCCACACCACGCAUUUGACAAAUACUAGCCGAGUGGAUGAAUGAGUGCACAUUCUUUCUUCCUGCAUUUUUUUUGAGCAUUUUAAAGCAAACAUAUAUCCUAUGGGGGGGUGGGGGGCAAUCAAUAGUGAAAUCUUUUUAAUAAAGAAGACUCAUUAACUGUCUGGCUAGAUAGGAUUCAUUUUUGUACCACUGUAAUAAUUUCUUUUGAAUACCUUCUUAAAUCAUAGAUGAAUUCUUUGUCAAGACACACUACAAUUUUGGUUUAGGUAAAAGGUAAUCUUUGUAAUUAUUAUCAGAGAGAUGAUAUACUUCUUGAAAUGCUAUUAAAAAAAAAGUCACCUCGGUACGAUUUUCUUCUCACAAAAACUAAAAACAAACCCUCAGAUGGAACUCUUCUGGUGUUACAUACCUGUUUCUUGGAAGCUUUUCUAUUUUUGAGCACAAGUGUAAGGGAGUGAGAUCUCAGCUCAUGCUAAGGGCGGGUCCUUGUUAGGGUUAGAUCUUUCUGCUGUCAGGCAGCUCCCGAUGGAUGUCCCCUUUAUGGGGCUGCCACUCAAUCUCUGUCAAAAGCCUCAUUGAGAAAAAAAAAAAAUCAUGCCUGUGUUGUGGCCUGAAGGAUGUAGCCAUUCCAUGGCUCCCCGUCCGACCACCUUUUUAUCACCAUGUUUUAUAAUGGUUCCUUUUUCUACACUGAAAUGAAAUUCAUGAGAGAUAUAAAGAGAUAAAACCUAUUCUCACCCACAAGUUUUAAAACCAGGAAAUCAAUAUUCUAAAUGCAAUAUAAAGAAGGUAUAAAAGGGCCUGAGGAAUAAAGGACUCUCAGGAAGACACAUCCCUAAUCUGAAAUCCCAAAUGCUACAAAACCUUUUUUUUUUUCCCCUUCCAUGAUGAGGAGCAAACCCAGGACCUCGUGCACACUAGGCAAGGACUCUCUCACCAGACUGUGGCCCCAGCUGCCAACUCUGGAACUUUCUGAGAGCUGACAUGAUGCCACAAGGCAAAAUUGCUUGUCUGACUUCAUGCGAUAUAGUCCAAACACAAAAUUUUUUAAAAAAUGUUAUAUAAAAAAUUACCUUCGGGCUAUGGAUAUAAGAUGUAUAGGAAACAUAAGAGAAUUUCAGGUUUAGAUGUGGGUCCCAUCCCCAGGAUAUCUCCUUAAGUAUAUGCAAAUAUUCCAAAACAAAAUUUAAAAUCUGAAACAGUUACGAUCCCAAGCAUAUCAAAUAAAGGAUGCACAACCUGUAAUGAUAAUGCAAUGUUACAUACACAUGUUUAUGUUUCUUGGGACUAGGGAUUGAACCUGGGCGUUGUGCAUGCUAAGCCUGAGUGCUACCCCUGAGCUGCACCCUUACCCUGUGUGUCUCUAUAGGGAGUAUUCAAUGUCCAGCACAGUCACCCUAGAAGACAAGAUGCAGAAGUCACAGCGUCACCUGCAGCAGGUGGGUCGUACAGAGAAUGGUAAAGAGCCCUUGUUAAAAUUCCACACCAAACUAAGGAAGAGCUUCCCUUGAUUCCUAUCAUAGGUGUGUUGCUGGAAAACCCACUGAGUAAGAGCUAUGCCGAGGAAGGAUUUGGGCUUGUAUACAAAAUGGAGUAAGGGCUACACUCAGAAGAUUAGAGAUGCUUUUCCUGGUUCUUUAUCAUGACAAAUUGCAAACACAUACCAGAGUCAAAAGAGUAGCUAAAAGAAUACUGGAGCAUAUCUUCCACAAAAUUGAACCCAUUUCCCCCCCCCCCGCCCCCAGAAUCAUUUGAAAGUGCUUACAGAUUUCACAACCUAUUUCAAUAUGCAGCUUCUAAGAAUAAUGAAAUCCCUACGUAUUCAUAAUAUCAUUGUCACAUCCAAAAAAGCCAGACACGAUUUGGUAAGAUCACUUAAUAUCUACUCCACAUACAAGUUUUCCCACUUGAUUUGAGAAUGACGUUCAUAGCUGUGAUCUUUCAAAAAAUCAGCAUCCCAUCACUAUUCGCCUAUUAGUUUAUUAUGUUUUAAUAUAGAACUAUCCCUCUACCUUUCUUCCUCAGAACAUUAGUAUUGUUUGGAAAAGCUGAGGCCAGUACUCUUGCACAAUGCCACACAUCUAACUCCUCAGUCUUUGAAUGCAACUUUGCUUUUCCCUCCUGGUAACUGGAGUCAGCCAGGUAUCCAAGCAUCCCUAACCCCAUAGAGCUAAGGCUGUGUGUGCUUUCUGUAACUAAGUUCAUGUGCUAUUUGCAAUGCAAAUGAACCGUUACAAGGAUUUCCUCUUAAUUGAAUUUAUUCCUAUUUAUAUCUCUUUUCUUAUGCUCAAACUUUGGUUCCUGAUAACAUUAAUGUAAUCACUCAUUUGCUUUCUCCCCCAAAGUAUACAAAUAUUUUAAAACACAAUACCAAUAGUAUUACAAACCACAAACCUUCCAAAUCAAGUCAAAAAGUUCUUCAUGGUAAAUUUUGCCUUUGGAUUUAUCCCCCUAAAAAUAAACUGUCAGGGACUGUGUUCAAAGGUUAGUGGAAAAAAUUCUCCUCUCUUUGCCAUUACAUUAGCUUCUGGUAUAUAGUUAACUUCUUGUGUUUUUGUUUGUAUUCAGUUUUAAUUUUUUUUUUGUUUUGAAUUAAUUUUUGAAAUAGGUAAAACACAAACCUGCUUUCAGUCAUGAAACUACUUAAAGUGAUCCUCAGGAAGACUUGCCCCAUUCUACCUGUACCCUGCCCCCCAUUUUCCUCGCUCAAAUGCCCGUAGUGAUGAUUUCACUUCCAGCUUGUCCUACCAGUGUUUCUUUUUCUUUCUUUGUUUAAAAGUCAGCACACUUGGGCUGGGGUUGUGACUCAGCGGUGGAAUGCUCCCCUAGCACGUGGGAGGCGCUGGGUUCGAUCCUCAGCAUCACGUAAAAAUAAAUCAAUAAAUUAAAAAUAAAGGUACAGUGUCCAACCACAACUUAAAAAAAAAAAAAAAAAACCAAACCGCAUACUUCAUGCUGUAGGUGUUAUAGACAUCUUGAAGCCAUUCCAUGUAGAAUCUCCUAAUCCUUUUAAAAUGGCUCCAUCAUACUAUCAUCUGUAGCUAGAUGUCCUCUAGCUUAUUCAACCAGCUUCAAACAUCUACAGUUUUAAAUAUUGCUAACUCUUCCUCCAGAGAAGGUUACCAUUUUGCCUUCCCAGCAGGAGGGUGUCAUAGAAAGUGUCAUGGAGACUUACACAAAUGUCCAGCGUUAUAUUUUAAAAGCAGCAUUCAAGGCAAUUCCUCUUUGCCUGGGACAGUUGACAUCCUGUGCACUGUCCACCCGGAGGCUGCUGGGCCUUCCUGGGCUCUGCCUGCUAACUGCCGGGAGCCUCCUCACAUGGUGACAGCAUAAAUUCCCCAAAUGCCACAUUGAGAAGCUUUGCUCCAGACACUCUAAGAGUAAUCCUUGGGACAGAGAAAGUCCCUUGGGUACCUGUCCGUCUGGCCCACGUGGGUUUUUGCUUUCUGUAUAAUUGCUUGGCUGAAUGGCACUGGGUGUUGUUCUGUUUGCCCACAGGAAGGACUGAGGGGACCUGAAGUGGCUGUGGGAAGCUGCUCAUUAGAACUCCUCCAGGAAUGCUGGUGCCUGCGACACCCCACGGGGCUCUUUCCUGGGAUGCUCUGUACCACCAGGAGUUUUGCCUCCCUUGCCCUUGUCCUCAGAACACAAGGCAUCAUGAACUUGAUCUUGCUCUCCGUUGUACCAGAUGUUACAGUGUGACCAGGCAAAUCUGUGCUGUUUCUGGCUUGUGCAUACAUUUUUAUGAUUUGCUCUAUAUGAACAGACCUCGGCUAUGGAUAUAUCCUUUUUACCUCUAUUCCUAAGCUUUUUGGGGUCAUUUUCCUGAUUUACCUUUUUUCUUCUUUUAAAUCAGUGGAAUCAUAUAAUUUUCUAAGUUGCUUUAAAUAGAUGAAAAUUCAGCCCCAAUCUCACAGGAUUGUGAGGAGUGUGUGUAGGGCACCUAGUCAUGCCCAGGCCAAGAGGAGGAGCAUGUUAGGCCACCGCCCCUGCAUCCUGCGCUCCUCUCUCAGCCACAUGCCCUGCCCCCAGCACAGCUCACUCUCUAUUUGACCUGCCAUCCACAACGCAGGACUGCAAUGUCCCUGUGCUGUAGGCUGGACACUGAGGAAUUAGCAGGAAGCAGGUUUAUUGGCUGCAGCCAGGUCCAGAGGGACCUUUUGCCUAAAUCAAUUCUCCCCUCUGAACCCCGAGUUCAGAAAGUUUUAGAACUUUACACCCAGUGUGUAGGGGGAGGGGCUCAGAGGCUCACAAUCUUCAGAAAUCCACAUAAAAGUAGGGUUUUUUUUCCCCCUGUUCUGGGCAAUCAACCCAGGCCUGGAUACAAAAAUAAAUCAAGGACACUCUCUGCAAAAAUCAGUGCCUAGGAAAGGGAGAAGUCCCCUCCCUUUCCCCUCAACUGGUUUCCAAGGAACCUAAUUUGUACCACUUACUCUUAUCUUUUGGACUGUAAAGGACUUUCCCUAGGAUCUAACUACUGUCCUUUGAAAUGUAAACGCCCCUGUAAAGGCUCUGGGCUCCCUUAUCACAUUCUGCUUCUGUAAACACACUUCCUGCCAGAAAACUUUUUUUUUUUUUGCAGAAAUUCUUGCUGAUAGUCUAAGAACAGUUAUGGUGAGGGUAUCUGGAGAAGCUUAAUUAAGAUUUUUUUCUGUGGAGGAGGUGGUGCCACUACACCUGGGCUUUCUCAGUCCUGUGUUUCUGUAUAGCAUGGCCCGCACAGAAUGUUUCUUCCAGUGCCAAGGUCAGCUUUUUCUCCAUUGAGAUGUUCUUGUAUCUGAAAACACUUGAACACGAGCCUAUUAGUCAGGCUUCUCCCAUGGAUGUGUUCCUGUUUACUAACCGGAAGCCUGCAAACUCAGACCCUGUGGGUUUUAUGGAAGCUUACUAUAUAGGUACGGUUGACUAAAUCUCUCCAUCAGUGAGCAACUCAACCUCAGCCCCAGAAGUCAGAGGCAGGACUGAAAGUUAUAAUCCCUUAGUCACAUAGUUGGUUCUCUCCUCUGGACACCAGCCCCCAUCUGGAGGCUCUCGCACCAGUCAUCUCAUUAGUAUACAAAGGAUUGAAAAACCAGCCUCUAUCUCAGAGCAAAGCCUGUCCAAGGAAGGGACAUGACCUUUGUCCUUGGAAAGACCCACAGAGUGCUCCUAGGCACAUUCCCACCCUGCUAAGUGGUUUAUCUACAAAUAACAGGAGAGAUCUGCUGCGCCAGGUGUCCCUGACUCAGUCAGGCUAGGUGAGGACCCAUAACAACCCCCUAGCAGCCACCAAUCAGCAUGAGACAGGGAAAUACCUGGGAUGCCAGAUGACCCUCCCAGUAGUUUAUGGUGGUUGAUAACAUGUUGGGAAACCAUGUAGCUCAGCACGAACACCCCUCUUGGCUUAAACCAAUCAGUUCAAAUGAAUACCCCUUUUGUAUUGACCAAUCACCCUUACCCAACUUGUUCUCACCAGUGAAUGUGCUAAUCAUGUUUUAGAGUUGUUAUUUGAUUUUCCCGCGGUAUGUGAUGAUUUGCUAAGAGAUGCUAUGAUGUAUGUGGGGGUCCCUGCCUUCUCCAAAGAGUGUAUAAAACUGCUGCAAACCCUGGGCUCGGGGCCUCUCAGCAUCACCAGUUGCUAUAUGUGCGCGCAGAGGACGGAGCUAGCUCGCAAUAAAC